rnacentral:rRNA from 1 species
AUUGAACGCUGGCGGCAUGCCUUACACAUGCAAGUCGAACGGCAGCACGGGAGCAAUCCUGGUGGCGAGUGGCGAACGGGUGAGUAAAGUAUCGGAACGUGCCCAGUCGUGGGGGAUAACGUAGCGAAAGUUACGCUAAUACCGCAUACGAUCUAUGGAUGAAAGCGGGGGGUCGCAAGACCUCGCGCGAUUGGAGCGGCCGAUAUCAGAUUAGGUAGUUGGUGGGGUAAAGGCUCAUCAAGCCGACGAUCUGUAGCUGGUCUGAGAGGACGACCAGCCACACUGGGACUGAGACACGGCCCAGACUCCUACGGGAGGCAGCAGUGGGGAAUUUUGGACAAUGGGCGCAAGCCUGAUCCAGCCAUGCCGCGUGCAGGAUGAAGGCCUUCGGGUUGUAAACUGCUUUUGUAUGGAACGAAAAGGUUUGGCCUAAUAAGCUGAGCUCAUGACGGUACCGUAAGAAUAAGCACCGGCUAACUACGUGCCAGCCGCCGCCGUAA